AUUGAACGCUGGCGGCAUGCCUUACACAUGCAAGUCGAACGGUAACAGGUCUAUGGAUGCUGACGAGUGGCGAACGGGUGAGUAAUACAUCGGAACGUGCCUAGUAGUGGGGGAUAACUACUCGAAAGAGUGGCUAAUACCGCAUGAGAUCUACGGAUGAAAGCAGGGGAUCGCAAGACCUUGUGCUACUAGAGCGGCCGAUGGCAGAUUAGGUAGUUGGUGGGAUAAAAGCUUACCAAGCCGACGAUCUGUAGCUGGUCUGAGAGGACGAUCAGCCACACUGGGACUGAGACACGGCCCAGACUCCUACGGGAGGCAGCAGUGGGGAAUUUUGGACAAUGGGCGCAAGCCUGAUCCAGCAAUGCCGCGUGCAGGAUGAAGGCCUUCGGGUUGUAAACUGCUUUUGUACGGAACGAAAAGCCCCGGGUUAAUACCCUGGGGUCAUGACGGUACCGUAAGAAUAAGCACCGGCUAACUACGUGCCAGCCGCCGCCGUAA
rnacentral:rRNA from 1 species